rnacentral:lncRNA from 1 species
GGGCAAGGACCAAAUAUCUCCAAGAAAGAUAGUAUGCAAUCACCCAUUCUAAUGACCUAUCUGGUAUAAACCUGUAAAUGUAUUUUUUUAAAGGUACUAUUGUAAUCAUGAUUUACUAAUGUAGUGGUUCUAGGCUUAAGGGCAUACGAUACAGUUACAGGGAAGGUAAUGACGUUGCUAAUGUAAAAUGUUAUUUUCGCGACGUCAAACUAUGACAUAUCGGGAAAAGAUGCAUUUAUCGACUGAUUUUUAUCAUUCAAACUGAUUUAAUUUGAAAACGAGUGCAUGGACCCCUAUUUUUUUAAAA